UUUAAAUAUUAAAGUCGUCGGUGAAGAAAUGAAUUUGGCGUUUAGCGAUAUGACCAACUAUGAGAUGGUAUUAUCACUACACUCUGGUUUGAACUGAUGAUUUAAGUGAUGAUAAACAAGGACUUCCGCCUCAGCAGAAACAUCCACCGCAGCAACCGCACCAUCAGCCACCUUCUCAGAUGAUUACUCCACAACAACAUUCCCAACCACCUCCACAGCAUCAGCAGCCUCCUCCAUACUACCAGGGAAUGCAUCUGCAAAACUUCAAUCUACCGACAUUUGGUUUUCACCGCCCCUGGGGCUACGAUUACGAUGGGUAUCUACCUCCAUGGGGAAUACCAUCACGGAAUAUGCAACAAUGCAACAACAUCGUGCCAUUCCGCAACAAGAAAAACUUUUGAUGCAAAACCAAGAAGAGUUUUGUGAAAAAAAAAACUAAUUGUGGAUCAAGUGUGCUACUUCAAAGCUUUAUACAUCAAGAGGAAACGAAUUUCUUUGAAAAUGUAUCCCAAAGAAUUGUCGAACUAUUUGAUGUACUCUGUGGUAUGUUAACAUCACCAACUGCUUAUCUACUACUAAUAUUUGGCUACUACCUGUCUUUCGCAAUGUCGCAAGGAGAGCCAAUUAAUUGCUAUUGCUAAACUACAUGCUGAACGAAGCUCACUGGCCUCAUACAAAACUAAGCCAAAGCUAAGCUGGAGCCUGGAGGAUCAAGUUGUUUCUUUAGAAAAGCUGAAGCAAGUUAAGAAAUGAAUAAGAGCAUAUCCGAAAUUCUUAACAACCAAAGUGGAGAUGAAUCAUUCAAAAGCAAUGUGGAGGAACUGCUAAGGCAACAUAAUGAACAACAGCAUACAAUCUUACAGCCCUAUUCUGCUAUCCAUCGGGGGGAAAAAUCGCUAAAUAUUCACCAAUUACCAUUCUGCUAUUAGGGGGGUUCACAUUGACCAACUUACCGGACAGACCGGUUGUCAUUUGGCCUGAUGGCCGAAUUAUAUUUUUCGUUCACACUCAUCAGACAAUUUUCAUCAAAACCCAUUUUUCAGCUUAUUUUUAAUAUAUCUUUACCCUAUUCUGCUCUCAAAUUAGAGAGAAUGGAUUAUCACUGUCUGCCGGACAGACAUGUCGUUUAAUUGACUAACAUGUCCGUCCGACCACCAAAAAAUCAAAAUUUUUUGAAAACCAUCCGGCAAACCGGACAGGCCGUUGGAUGGGUGUUCACAUUAUCAAAACAGCAUCAGAUCAGACCAAAUGGCAGCUGGUCUGUCCGGUAAGUUGGUGAAUGUGAACCCCCCUAUUCAUAGGGGGGAAUCCAAACUCACGUCGGUAAUAUCGGUAAUGUUGUUCAGUAUUCCACUAAUCACGUGAAUGAACUUGCUCCAUACAUUUGCAAUCCGCAUAAAAAAUGUUGCGGAUCUGUCACUUUUGGUUGUAAAAAAUUCACCAUCGUUGAAAUUAAGCAAAAUGCCACUUUUCAUAAAUUUUUAAUUAUUUCUUAACAUUUAAUCGGCUGUUUUUAUUUUUUCUAUGCAAAUAAACACAAACAAAAAAUUUUGUUUUCCUUUCAAUUUAAUUCGUCGCCAUUUUUUUUUAAUUUGACGUUCACCUGGACGUCCUGGAAAUAUAUAUACAAUGGUGUAUAUCACACCUAUAGAGUUGGCGAUUGAAGCCACAAAAAAAUAAAAAAAAAAAAUAAAUUUUAUAUAAACUGUCAAACAUUUUAUAUAAUCUGUCAGAUUUCGAGCUCGUUUUCCAUGGGCGAACUUACUCUUAUUGGUGAUGACAAGGCGAUGCAAUCAUUGACCGCCAAUGUUUUAGCUAAUCUUAAUGAUUUUGCAACAAUUUUCAGUCUGUUUUUAGUUGAAAAAAAAAAAACAGUUUAAAAUUCGUAUAUAAUUAUGAUAAAAAAUAGCACUUAUACGGAAGUCUCUCACGAGACCAAUUACUUUUCUAUUGGCGCCCCUUGAGUGAACAAUAUAUAUGCACUCCGACCCUUUACCAAUACAUGUGCAUCUGUACAACUCACACUAAUAAAAAGUGGCUUCACUUAUUUGGAUAAACACCCCUUCCUGUACUUCUUAUUCAAUGAAAGCAACACUUUUUCCACUUUAAAUCACCUGAUCCAUGGCUGAACCACUGCUAACCCACCAAUAUCGGUGGGUAACUUCUGAUCGUGGUUCAGCUGUGGGUUAAGACCUGAACCUCGAUUGUACAACACUGCAAAUGAGUUGAACCGAGUUCAAGCGUUGAUCCGAGGAUGAACCACGUUUGUACAACUGGCCCUGAGGGUUAACUCACGGAUCAGCUGAACUCAAGUUAACUCUUGAACCAAGUUCAACUUUUAGUGGGUUGUAUAGUUGUAGAUGAAGUGAGAGUCAGCUGAACCCCAGUUUAGGUUUAUAUACAAGAAAAUUUUAGUAUACAUAUAUAUACCUAAUGUCACUGUCAGUUGUUGUUAUUUUAUAAAGCACAAAGUUGGUAAAAAUGUAUCGUCCGUCUAUUAAUUGUGAUUUGGAAGAAAAUACACAAAAAUUAAGCAUUAUUUUAGUGAAAAUAGUUUUUUGCCUAUUCUAAUGGUGGCCGGACCUUCAUCAAGUUAUCUGAUCAGGACGAGGAGAAUUCUUGGGGGGUUGUUUUAUUUGUUUGAUGUUUUUUUUUUUUUUUUGGAGAAAAUUGUGUAUUCAUAUAUAAAAAUUAAUUAAGUAUUAAAAAAUACACAUAAAAGUGAUAAAAGCUGUGUUAUUAUUUUAUUUAUUAUUUAGCAUCACAAACACAUCCAAAACAAAUAAAAAAAAAAACACCCCAAUCAUUCACAGUACACAUAAAAAGGUAAUAUAAAUAUAAAGACAGUCCGACCUCCGAUCGAGAAAAGCGGGGUUGCACUCACACACUUGCAACUUUUUGUGUAUGAACACAAAGUCUAAGAGAAUCGUGGUGAAAACUGAGAAAAGGAAAAAAAAGUAGACAGACAUAGCCAACAAGAGCAAAAGCGUCAUUUUGUUAUUUUUUGUUGAAGUGUUUAGUCGCGUCGUGUCUCGUGUCGUUGUUAAUAAAAUAUAAGUGUAAUUAUAAACAAUUAUAUCAAACUAUUAACAAUAUGGAAACAAAAAAAGAUGUAAUCUCUAAUGAUGAAGAAAAAGGCAGAAGGUGAAACAUGCGAUUGGGCAUCUAAAGAAACAUCAACAACAGCAGCAACAACAAAUAAAAUAAAAUGAAAAAAAUGUAUUCUAUUUUAUAUUGUAUAUAUUGUGAAAAUUUCGUUUGCCAAAAUAAAAUAAAAAAAAAACAGUU